rnacentral:rRNA from 1 species
UACGAAGGGGGCUAGCGUUGUUCGGAAUCACUGGGCGUAAAGCGCUCGUAGGCGGAUCUUUAAGUCAGGGGUGAAAUCCCGAGGCUCAACCUCGGAACUGCCUUUGAUACUGGGGAUCUCGAGUCCGGGAGAGGUGAGUGGAACUGCGAGUGUAGAGGUGAAAUUCGUAGAUAUUCGCAAGAACACCAGUGGCGAAGGCGGACUCACUGGCCCGGUACUGACGCUGAGGAGCGAAAGCGUGGGGAGCAACAGGG